GACGUAGGGCGCGAGCGUUGUCCGGAUUUAUUGGGCGUAAAGAGCUCGUAGGCGGCUUGUCGCGUCGACUGUGAAAACCCGCGGCUCAACUGCGGGCCUGCAGCCGAUACGGGCAGGCUAGAGUUCGGUAGGGGAGACUGGAAUUCCUGGGUGUAGCGGUGAAAUGCGCAGAUAUCAGGAAGAACACCAAUGGCGAAAGCAGCUUUCUGGGACGGUACUGACGCUGAGACGCGAAAGCGUGGGGAGCGAACAGG
rnacentral:rRNA from 1 species